UCUUUGAUGUGAAGAACGCUUGGUUAUGGCUGACAUUCGGAGCAGUUUCACGGCCGGUUUCUCGGAGCUAAGCCAUGGGCGCGGAGCCAAGCUGGAAUGGAAGCAGCAACCGACCGGCGGCCUUGUGGUUGGGGCGCCAUGGGAUUUACCUGGUGCAAGAACCUUCGCAACGGAGGCGCCUUGGAGGCUGGAGCGGUCUGCUGGCGUGAGGCAACUCCACAGAAGGGGGAGCUCCCUACCAUCUACGGGGACGUCGGCCAUUGGGAGCGUGGCAGAUCAGCGAGAAGCACCAUCGGCCGAACAUACCGAGUGCAACCAAGAAGGCCAUAUGAGCCGGGACUGUUCCACUGCUCACUGUGGCGGACGACGAGGAUGCCUUAAGUGAGGCGAGGAAGGCCACAUGAGCAGGGAGUGAAUGCAGACACGUGGGCGCCACACACCCAGAUGUGGGUCGCUACGCUUCGCGUGCGGCCAAAUUACGAGUUUUGUGUGUAUUAUGUGCUUUAAUAGAUCGUUUCAUAUAAAGCAAUUUUAAAAUUUCAAGUUUUUUGAUGAUUAAGAUAAUAAAUAUAUUCCUUCACCUUCUA